CGCGCACACGCUACCUAGCAGCCUUCAGGGCGGACACGCGAACUCUAGAGGCGAGAUCUUUCCCCCAGCCGAACUCACAAAAGGGGGAUCUCACGAUAUCCCGCUAGAGAGGAUCACUCCUCGACAAAUAUCAUGCAAACCUGAUAUAUUAUUUAUAAUUAUAUUGUAUUUUUAGAACUCAAUAUGUAAGCAAUGUCAAAUGAUUAUCUCCACAUCAUUUUCACAUUAUUUAAACAUAUACAUCUACAAUUUCUCAACUAGUUGUAAAUAUUCCAUAUGCCUACUAGCAAUUUACAUUAAUCUUGAAGAGUAGUCUAAACCCACGAAAUUUGUACAAGGUCAAGGACAAUUAAUCAUACAUGCUCGUUGCUUAUGCUUCCGAAUGCACCAGCAAAUACGAUGAAGUUUACAGAGUUCCUCUUAAUGAUGUUUGUCGUUUAACUUAUGCUUCCGAAUGCAGCAAAAAAAUAUGAUGAAAUUUACAGAAUUUUUGUGAACCCUUGCAGUGGAUCCAUGGAAUUUGUUCCCCCAGCUGAUCCAUCAAUGUUUUUCCCCAUAUCCGUUGGAUUUUCCACAUCGAAUACUUUCAGUGAUGUGAAGGUUCCUGGAAUCCGCCCUUUGAAGGAAGGUAGCAACCCUCCAAAGUAUUCGCAGAGGGUUCGUUUGGUUGCUGAUAAUUAUCAAGUGGUUUAACGCUCCAGUAAUUGUUAAUCAAUAUCUUGCUCUUGCCAUGUGCGGCUAAGCAGCCAUGGCAAGGAGAAUGGUUUUGGAUGUACAAAAUGUGUAGACGAGUUUUUCUCCUGUAGCAUGUUUGGCAAGUUGAUUUUUCAUCACCUCU